GACGAACGCUGGCGGCGUGCUUAACACAUGCAAGUCGAACGGAAAGGCCCUGCUUUUGUGGGGUGCUCGAGUGGCGAACGGGUGAGUAACACGUGAGUAACCUGCCCUUUACUUUGGGAUAACUUCAGGAAACUGGGGCUCAUACCGGAUAUGAGCUCCUGCUGCAUGGUGGGGGUUGGAAAGUUUCGGAGGUUGGGGAUGGACGCGCGGCUUAUCAUCUUGUUGGUGGGGUAGUGGCUUACCAAGGCUUUGACGGGUAGCCGGCCUGAGAGGGUGACCGGCCACAUUGGGACUGAGGUACCGGCCAGACUGCUACGGGAGGCAGCAGUGGGGGAUAUUGCACAAUGGGCGGAAGCCUGAUGCAGCAACGCCGCGUGCGGGAUGACGGCCUUCAGGUUGUAACCCGCUUUCGCCUGUAACGAAGCGUGAGUGACGGUAAUGGGUAAAGAAGCACCGGCUAACUACGUG
rnacentral:rRNA from 1 species